AUAGAAGAAAGUGCUCAGCUGCCACAUGGCCUACUCUUCCUUAUGCAUGAAGACACUGCGGCUCAGCAUCCACCAUAAUUCAUCCCAGGUCACUAUGGGCUUAGGCCUAAUGCUUCUUGGCUAAGAAAAUUCAGAGGUGUAGCAGGUGCUCAGAAAAAAAUGGUCUUACUGUGUAGUCCAGGCUGGCCUCAAAUUCAUGGAAAUCCCACUGCCUCUGCCUCCUGAGUGCUAGGAUUACAGGCAUGCACCAUUAUGCCUGGCUUGGACUCCAGCUUGUGAUCUUCCUAACCUUAGCCUCCCAGAGUGCUGAGUUUACAGACAUGUGCCACCACACCUGGUGCCUUGAAAUCAGCAAUCUGAGGCAGGCGAUGGGGUCCCAGUGAAGACAUCAUCAGAAAGAGCAGCA
rnacentral:lncRNA from 1 species